GAAUUGGUUCAAUUUAUUGAUUAGCCAUUGCUUUUAAGUUUUAAUAAGCAAGAUGCGCCCGUAAACCUAGUUUGUAAGACUCCCUGAAUACAAGUGCAAGGCUGAUUUCCACCUACGCAUUUUAUCUUUCCAUGAAAAUAAGACCGAUCCUACACCAACAUAACCACCCACCUACAUAAAUCAGGUUAAACAAUUGAAGUAUAUUAAAACCUAUUUGCCUCCGUGACCCAGAAAAAACAAAAGAUCUUAUUAGGUAUGUUUUUACGUGUCUUCAACCAUUUCAACACUUUUAUUGUUUUAUUUAAUUAAAAAUGUCUUGUAUGCGUGUAUAUUAAGUUGUUUCAUUAGUAUUAAAAAAACCUAUGCCGAGUUUUGGUUUGCAGUAAAAUGUUAGUCCUUAACAUAUCAGCCUACAUCAUCAUAACCUUACAUUCUAGACUGCACGAAAAACAUUAUCAAACUUCCACACUUCAGCGACAAAGUUCUGUUAGAUAAUUCAAUUGAAAAAUCUCGAAAUGGAACGCUGUCCCCCAUAUCAAACCCCAAAAACACGGCCUAAAAUCAAAAGUGGGCCAAGUCUCCGGUGGUCCGCCCCGCCCACCGCCUAAAAAGCCCAGGGAACGGACACAGAGACGAGUCAUGGAUCAAAAAAAUAUUCAAAGCUCAUGCAGACCCACCGGGACAAUGUAGGACAAAAAUAAGAGGACUUUGGGAGUCAUGUACGAAUAUGAUAACCGAAAAGGCGCACAAGUACCUGUGGCCCACCACAAAAGAGACGAAAAGAUGAAAGAACCGUGAAACCAUGCAAAUUGCAAAAUUUUAAUAACUAUUGCGGAUCGCUCAUUUACGAAUAACGGAUGGGCAAAUAAAAGAAGAAGAAUAGGAGGGCAAAUGUGGGGGCGCCAAAUAACCCCCAAAGGAAUAUAUGGGAGGACUCAAAUAAUAGUUAAUGCAAGUUAAUUACAAAUCUGGUAUUAAUUCUACGCAGUGUCUGGGUAACCACCCGACUCAGAAAACAAAUCCCAAAAACUGACGUGUAGAUCGAACGGCACAACAUGGAACUUAAAUAAAAGGUAUUUGAAAGUAGAAUACGAAUAUUAGAGACAAAGUGUCUGAAGUCAUCCAAAUAUCCCCAAACGCUCAUGCAGAUUCACCAGAUAUCAUGUACGAAUAUGAUAACCGAAAUUGGGGACAAGUACUUGGGGGGGCCGCAAAAAACCUCUAAAGGACAUAUAGGGUGAUGGGGACAAAUUGAGGGAUUUUGAUAGCAGAAUACGAAUCAUACUUCCCAAUUUGCAUGAGGUUGAUCAAGGAUGGAUCUGUGGCACUUUAAAACUGUUGCAUUUUACAUUUUACUGUGGUAAAACUAGGGCACAUGACUCUUCCCCUUACCCUAAUUUUUAAAAACGUCAAAUCUCGAGGAGGCUGAGACGAUUCAUGUGAAUUUUUGUUUGCACUCCUAUAACCUAAACCCAAAAACCAAAAUUUGGUAUCCCAAAAAGAUCUCAAAUGAACAGUAUUUGAGGGCAGAAAACGAAUCUGAUAUAUAACUGUGGGUCCAAGUGUUUGGCGUGCGCCCCACUCCCAUAUCAAAUCGAACAUAUUUACCGACCAUGGCAAUAUUAGGCUCAAAUCGAAGCUAUGUGGUAGUAAAGCACGAAAUCAAUACCCACUUUCGGGAAAGUCGCUGGGAAUACACCUCACCCCCCAAAUAUGACAUAUUUACUGACCAUGACCAUGUUUUUUUUUAGCUUAACUACGUACUCUUCCAGUAAAAAUUUGGAGGAGAGUUUGAGUAGCAUUCUUUCUAUUUUGCUAUUUAUUUGAAUUAAACAACUGGUUUCCAUAGGACAUGGAAAAAAAACUACAGUAGAAAUUUGCAAGCUCCCAAUUAUAAAACAAUCAAAAUUUUCCGUUGGUAUAUAAAGACUUCCAGUAAAAAUUUUUGCAAACUUACACAAAUUUUUGAGUAAACGAACACACUUUAGGUAUGCAGUGCAUUGCGUUGGCAAGUGGAAAUUUAGGAAUUGAAAGGGGCAAAGACAGAGUAGCGUUUAUUGCCAUUUAAAUUUCUGAAUGUUGUGGUCAGGUUGGCACAAAGCCGAUUCCAUAUACGAGCAGUUCGGUCAAAAAAGGAAUUCUCUAUGUAGUAAAUGGUUCUCUCAGCUGACUAAUCCAUAACAAGCGGGUGUGAGUUCCUAGAAAGACUGAUAUUUCUGACGAACAUCUUUACAUCAGGAAUAAGAAGGUUAAUAUCUGUGGAGCACACACCAUUGAAGAAUCAAUAGAACAGCGUCACACAAACCACAUUACGGCGAUGCUUAAAGGAAACAAUAGAGUUGGAUACCCAAAAGUCACCAGCAGUCAAAACCAGCGCUCUUCCCUUAAUAUGGCCCAGAGGUUCCGAGGGGGAUUUGGUUGCUCCAGCCGAUAUAUGUGAAUUAUGGGCUAUGCAUCUCCGGCCUGCUGUAGGUAGUAUAGAUAUUAAGAAGGUUAGUGUAGUAAUUCUUCCACCGCUUCAGAAAGCCCAAACGCUUGGAACGGUCAUCACAUUGUAUCUUCAUGCCCAGAACAUGAGAGAAUCUGACUGCUCAUUGAUUGCAUUGAGUCAGAGGCUCAAAUAAAAGGUAUUUGAGAAUAUAGCAUGAAACUUGAGUCUACUUUCAAGGCCAAUUGUCUGGAGUAAAGCAUGAGCUUGACAUUCACACUCAUGGCGAAAUGUCGCCGUCGCAUCCCCAAAACGGACAUACGAGAGCUGCUAUAUAAAUUUCUAGCUUAAUCAUAUUUAUGCACAUUUUUGUCAUUAAAAACAGUUUUUAUAUGGCGUAUGACACAUCAAUUCGACGUUUUGGUCGGUCAAAAAGUUUGAACUGGUUUGAGCCGAUGUGUGAGAGCUGGCAUUGUCAUGACGUGAUGUGCUACUCAGAAUUGACCUUCCUAUGUUGCUCAAGCGAAACAGUAGUCACAUGAGCAGUUUUGCUGAAGAAAUAGGCCGAUCGAUUGUUGUUUUGUAUCGGGCUCAUACGCAUAUAUCCACGUUUCGCCGCCUGUGGCGAUCUCAAAAAUGUAUUUUGAAAAUCCGCGAUCAUUUUUUUUUAACAUUUCUUCGCACUAAUGUACAAGAGCCUUUUUUGCGCGAUUGUCAAAUUGUGCGGAAUUCAAAGAGAAUUAUCCUUUUUUAAGGCAAGUUGUUGAUGCAAUAUCGAAUCAAUGCUGGAUGCCUCUAUCUAUUAGUAUGUCACAUGACGAUAUUACAUGGCAAGUUCACGCACGGCAUCAAUUUUCUCCGGUACAAUGGCCAUUUUUGGACGGAAUUCGACUUUGAGCGAGCGUCGACGACGACAGUACUAACAACAUUAAACCAGUUGUAAGCACUGGUAUGGUUAGUACUAUAGGAUGGUUCUUCAUUGCCAUACAAAGAUUGAAGUUCAUCAAUGCCCUCUUAUCGUUAUAAACCACGUCGAAAAUUGUGAAGAAUGGUCGCACGAAAUUUUUUUGUCAAAUUCAUGUUUUCAGGUCACUGUUAACAACACUAACGAUGGUCGUACGUCAAAACGUUCUGAGUACGAUUAUGCUAGAAAAUGUUAAACUAUCCAUUGGAAAUGUCAGAUUGGAACUGGCAUCACUUAGUGUUGCCUAGGCCAGAAACUUAUAAAUCAGCCCCCGUUUUUGGGAAUAUGGGAUUCAAAUAAAAGCUUUCCGGAUAUUACCUUUCCAGGUCAAGAGUCGUCUGGAGACAUUCCUUCUGAUCAAUACCCUCAAAAAUGAAAAUGUUUACCAACCGUGGAAAUAUGAGCCUAUAAUGAAAGGUAUUUGGGAGAAGAAAACAAGUCAGAAAACCAAGUUUGUCCCUAAGAGUUUUACACCGCCUCACCCCCAAAACGGACCUAUAGACCCAACAUAAGAAUAAGGACUUUUCAAGAUAAAUGUGUUUGGAAGUAGAAUAUGACAAGAUCAUCAUUUUGGAUAUGUAGGUCGAUAAUGACAACAUGGAAAUCAAAUGCCAGGAUUUUGAGAGGAGAGUACUAAUCAUUUGGAAGUAAAAACUGUUAUUCAGGAGACUUGUACCACAUCUCCAAUUCCAUUUGCCGUUUAUUCAACGCUAACGAUUGGAAACAUCUUUGACUUUCAUUUUGCCAUGACCAGAGUCCAGCAUGCCAAUCAAAGAUGUGUUUUCAUACACGAGAAGUCUGAAGCAUGAUCUUCAAUGUUUUUAGUACAGUCUAGUGUAGAAGAGCGUAUGUGGAUGUAGAUUUGAUUGAUAUAGACCGCAUUGCAUUACAUCUUGUAGUUGAGAAUGUUGUGGACGAACAGUUGGUGACUUACGUGCUAAAAUUCUAGUUAGUUUAUAAAAAAAGAGGUUUAUUACGCUGAGUGAGAGACAGACAGAGAACAAUACAGAGCUAGGGUUCAGGUUAAUGUUGGAAGCCAAACGGGCGGAUUGACCGAAGAUCUACAAUGGCAGAAUUUUUUGUUCCACAUUUUUCAAAUUGAGGCAGCACAGCAGCAGCGGCGGCGGCGACGGCAAUCAAUUCAAGCUCUUAUUGUCAAGCAAAAUACGGGGUCGGGUGGCAUGCUUUUUAUUUUAAUAGACUUUGUGUUUGGUUGCUACUUGUAAAAAAACGUAAAGUAACCUCUUCUCUCUCGUUUUGUUUUUUUUUUAUUUUUGUGAUUUUUUCUUGAUUUGUUUAUUAAUUAUAACUAGCUGAUCUGCUUACGACUAUUUUUCUACGUUGCUACAAUUGCUACAGAAUGUGUCUUUGUUUAUGAAUAUAUUGUUAACAAAUACUUUCAAUUAGUUACGUGUGGUUUUUGUUGUUGUGAAUAUAAAAGCAGCUUUUACAUCAUCAAUGGCAAAUUGUGGUUUUUUCGUCUUCUUUUUUUGUAUUAUAUUAUCAUAUAUAUCAAAAAGUGAAAAAACAAAAUGGACGCAUGCGGGUGAUUGCUGUUAUUUUGUAUUUGUUUUAUUUGUUUUAUUUUUUUAAUUUUUUUCUGCGAUAAUUAUUUGCUGUAAAGGGCCAAAGCAUUUCAUUCGGAAAGAGAAGCUUGCGCAGCUUUACAUUGUAAGUGUCAUCCGAUCUGUAUUGGCAUUGGCAUUAGCAUUGGCAUCAGUGAACAAUUUCUUUUAUCGACAACCUGAGUUAAAGCCUUUAGUACAUUCAAUUAAAAGUUUCUUCACGCACACACUCAGAGACGUACCGCAAACGGGCCUUCGGCGCACUUGCAGUCUCGGAUGAAAUGCAUCAGUGAAUUAGGUGUUCCUAUGUAUGUAUGUAUAUUUUUGUGGUUUUUCUGGGAUGGACAAGACCCUCCGAUCGUCCCUCCCCAGUUUGUUAGUUUUUCUUCUCUAAUUAUCCAUCAUCGUCAGUGUAAAUUUGGUGUCUUGGCGUACUGGUACUGUCAUCGAUACUAUUGCUAUUCAUCGAAGAGGAGCAGGAGGAGGAGGAGUUGGAGUUGCAACUUAAAUCAUUUUAUUAUUUGUAUGACAUUUUUACACAACUUUUCUCUUUUGUUAUUUUAAAAAAUACAAGGCAAAUAAUUUUAAA
rnacentral:sRNA from 1 species